rnacentral:lncRNA from 1 species
AUGUUCAGAUUCUGGGCGGUACAAGUCAUUCCAGCCAUUAAGAGACACAUCCUGGGGCUGCUCUGAAUUCCCUUCCAAACUGAAAGGACUGAAGUCAAAGCAGGACGAGCAAAGGGACUUUCCCACUGGACACCGCAUGAAAGAAAGACACUUGUGCAUGAAGAUUUAAGUGGAAAAGUCAAUGCACAGAGACAGCCCCACUCUCUCGGCGCUGGAAGCCUGGGUCCAGUGGCACGAAAAGUCGUUACACCUGGAGACUUCCUCAGCUGCAUUGGAUGGCCGUGUUGUCUUUUGUGCUCCAACAAGCCCUGAGCACUCCACAGUGCUUCGCUGCGUCGCCCUCUCAGCCGUUGAACCUUCUUAUUGGUUUCUUCCGUCUGUUCCGCCGAAGCAGUCUUCGCAUGCUGGACCUGGUAUGGAGAUCAAUGGGUAA